rnacentral:rRNA from 1 species
CCUACGGGAGGCUGCAGUGGGGAAUAUUGGACAAUGGGCGAAAGCCUGAUCCAGCCAUGCCGCGUGUGUGAAGAAGGCCUUCGGGUUGUAAAGCACUUUCAGUGGGGAAGAAAGCCUUGGGGCUAAUACCCUCGAGGAAGGACAUCACCCACAGAAGAAGCACCGGCUAACUCCGUGCCAGCAGCCGCGGUAAUACGGAGGGUGCGAGCGUUAAUCGGAAUUACUGGGCGUAAAGCGCGCGUAGGCGGUCUGAUAAGCCGGUUGUGAAAGCCCCGGGCUCAACCUGGGAACGGCAUCCGGAACUGUCCGGCUAGAGUGGAGGAGAGGAAGGUAGAAUUCCCGGUGUAGCGGUGAAAUGCGUAGAGAUCGGGAGGAAUACCAGUGGCGAAGGCGGGCUUCUGGACUGACACUGACGCUGAGGUGCGAAAGCGUGGGUAGCAAACAGGAUUAGAUACCCGAGUAGUC